rnacentral:rRNA from 1 species
GAUGAACGCUGGCGGCGUGCCUAAUACAUGCAAGUCGAGCGAAGAGGGGACGGGGGAGAAAAACGUGGAAAAACUCCCAUAAGACCGGGAUAACUUCGUGAAACCGGAGCUCAAUCGGAUAUUUAAAGUAGGACCGACGCUGCAUUAGCUAGUUGGUAAGGUAACGGCUUACCAAGGCAACCACGCAGAGCCGACCUGAGAGGGUGAUCGGCCACACUGGAACUGAGCCACGGUCCAGACCCCUACGGGAGGCAGCAGUAGGGAAUCUUCCGAAAUGGGCGAAAGCCUGACGGAGCAAGCCCGCGUGAGUGAUGAGGGUCUUCGGAUCUUAAAACUCGUUUAUUAGGGAAGCGGUACCUAAUCAGAAAGCCACGGCUAACUACGUGCCAGCAGCCGCGGUAAUAC